GAUGAACGCUGGCGGCGUGCUUAACACAUGCAAGUCGAACGAAGCACUUUAUUUUAUUUCCUUCGGGACUGAUUAUUUUGUGACUGAGUGGCGGACGGGUGAGUAACGCGUGGGUAACCUGCCUUGUACAGGGGGAUAACAGUUGGAAACGGCUGCUAAUACCGCAUAAGCGCACAGCAUCGCAUGAUGCAGUGUGAAAAACUCCGGUGGUAUAAGAUGGACCCGCGUUGGAUUAGCUAGUUGGUGAGGUAACGGCCCACCAAGGCGACGAUCCAUAGCCGACCUGAGAGGGUGACCGGCCACACUGGGACUGAGACACGGCCCAAACUCCUACGGGAGGCAGCAGUGGGGAAUAUUGCACAAUGGGCGAAAGCCUGAUGCAGCGACGCCGCGUGAGCGAAGAAGUAUUUCGGUAUGUAAAGCUCUAUCAGCAGGGAAGAUAAUGACGGUACCUGACUAAGAAGCACCGGCUAAAUACGUG
rnacentral:rRNA from 1 species